rnacentral:sRNA from 1 species
CAAAGCGUGCUCCGGGCGGUCUUCUUUUUAGUCCUGGGGCUUUUGGGUCAUUCUCACGGAGGAUUCCCCAACACCAUCAGCAUAGGUGGACUUUUCAUGAGAAACACAGUGCAGGAGCACAGCGCUUUCCGCUUUGCCGUGCAGUUAUACAACACCAACCAGAACACCACCGAGAAGCCCUUCCAUUUGAAUUACCACGUAGAUCACUUGGAUUCCUCCAAUAGUUUUUCUGUGACAAAUGCUUUCUGCUCCCAGUUCUCGAGAGGGGUGUAUGCCAUCUUUGGAUUCUAUGACCAGAUGUCAAUGAACACCCUGACCUCCUUCUGUGGGGCCCUGCACACAUCCUUUGUUACGCCUAGCUUCCCCACUGACGCAGAUGUGCAGUUUGUCAUCCAGAUGCGCCCAGCCUUGAAGGGCGCUAUUCUGAGUCUUCUGGGUCAUUACAAGUGGGAGAAGUUUGUGUACCUCUAUGACACAGAACGAGGUAAGAAGAGGCACCUGAUCUCCUCUUUAGAUAUUCAUGUAAUUGUGUUCAAACUUCCUCAGCUCAUGUGCCCUUUGCUUCCAAUAAAUAAAAUCUAAUUCCGUUUUAAAAUUGUAUUUAAUAUUCCAAAUAAAUCAAAGAUUAAGAUUAAAAAAUAAAA